AAGGACUAAACAAGCGAAUUGCACACACGUGUAAAAGUUCUUUUGAUUGAUAGGAGGAACAAUUUGAAAUUGAGUAAAUUUAAAAUCGAUUCCCUCCUCCGUGUAGGGUUGUUUUCUUUUCGGAGCCAUCGCUUUAAAUCACAGGGCUUGAAAAGGAAAUUUCGUUACGGUGUAGUUGGGCCAAGUCGUGUUGGUUACUUUGCGAAACUUGACAUGAUUAAAGGAUGUGCGUGUGUAGGUAGGAAUGAAUUGCGACAAAGAGGAAUUUUAAAAGAAGAAAGUGAUACAUUACAAUUUAACUCAUUUAUUCAUGCCUAAUUAAAUAAGUAUGAAAAAUGCCAACUUGAAAACUCUAUUUGACUCCACAUCCUAUGUACUUUAAAAGCUUACAGUUUGUAGUUAGAGUUGUUUAAAUUGGAUGUGAUGUUUUUGUGAAGAGACACAGAUUAUAUUUCGUAUUUUUUCACUUUCAAUCACUUCUUUGUUUUCUACUUUGAAUUGUUUCCUGGGUGAAGAGUGCAAUGACUGUUACUGUAAGAACAAUUGGCAUAUGUUAACGUUUCAAGGACUUUUGUAUUUUAUUUUCUCUUGUUAAAGAUUACACAUUACUCAACUUGAAUUGUAUUAGACACGGGAAUUAACUAAUGAAGCUACAUUGGAAUAUGAAUGAUGUAAAACGAAAAAAGAAGACACAUGUACAAGAUUUACACUGU